GCACUGUAGCAGAGUCGUGUUCGUCAAUUGGGCGGUCCGCAGAGUGCCGCAAUCUCAAUUUUAGGGCUCUGGGGUCUUUUUGCAGUCGGAGGCGCCGAUCUUAUGUUAAAAGUGUCAAAUGUGAUUUACAAGCUCCGUAAUGUAUUCUAGCACGAAUUCAACUAAUGAAAGAGUUUGGAUGAUAAGAAUGACAGAGAAGUUGAUUUGGCCGCUUUAGAGAAGUGCUAGUUGUCGAGAAUGUUGUUUAAGGACUGCAGGCUCGAGGUGAGAGUGUGGAUAUGCACUGUAAACGACCUCGUUAAUUUAGGCAAAGUAUU